UUCUUCUUCAUGAACUUUCAUAAAAAACAGAAAAAACUCUAGAGAAAAGAACCUACACACAAGAAACAAGGGUUGAAGCCUAAUAACACAAACAUACCAGCCGCCCAACACCAGCAACCACCUACAGGCGCCUCCUGCUCACUCACGACCGGACCCCCUUGAUUUUCGGCUUCUUCAACAGAACAUAGGGCCCCAGCCGUUUCUAUUCUUCUUCGUUCAAACACAAGAUGAAAAAAUAUUUGAACUCCAUCACCCCAAGAAGGAUCCAACCGCUGGACAACCUAGCCACUGGCCACCACUAUUAUCGCCGAAAACCAAACCAAGACAACAACCCCUAAUCUCGAUCUCCUCUAGACACUCACGAAUAGAAGACAGAGACAGGGGAUUGGCCGCAAAAAAGAAAAUGACCCCAUCUCCAUCUACCUUUCCAUCUCUCGACCAAACCAGCCCUUUUCCAACACACCCAUCGAAAAUACUCACCACACACACACGCUUACAGAAGUUAAAAAUACAUUUUAGAAUCAUGGAGUUCGUUUAGGUUGAAAGAUGUUUCGUGUUUGGGUUGCGCAAGGAUCAUUGCUCACUUCGAUCUACCUUGUUUCCCUUGUCCGCUGCUUUUCGAGAAGUUUGAAUUCAAAGCAGAGUUGACAAUAGAUUUGAAUCCUAUUGCACCAAAAAAGUUUUGACUCGAGGUUCCGGUCAAGGUUCAUGAUGUUUUGCGAUUCAAAGCCCUGAAGGUCCGUCCUAUCUUCUGUUCCCCUCUUGUCUGAUUUGCCUAUGAAUAGUUUUUAUUUUUCCAUGUUGAAUUUUGGUUGAAACUUUAAUUGUAAUAAUUUAUGGACUCUUGUCUAGAUGGACGUGUGGUGGUACCUAAUUCGAAUGGAAUCAAUAAUGGGUCAAUGAAGUAAUUGAGAAUAAGUGGGAUCAGAUCACAUGAGUUUGAAUAGAAUUAAGUUUAAGAAACUGGAUAGUAGAUGACAUGUUCUAUUUCGAUUUUGUUACUACUAGUUUCGUUUAAAGCUAGUAGCAUGCUUAGGCCGAUCACAUUUGGGUAGGCAAACUUUAGGAUUUUAUUUUGUUUAAUUUUGAGGCGAGAGAUUGUUUCCUUAGUUACAUUUAUCCGAGGAAUGCCCCGAAGGAUUUGUAAAAAUUUGAUUCCAGGGAAUGCCCCGUAGCACUUUUAUUUGGAGGCCAAAAGUAGAGUUUGUAGUAUUUUUAUCUUAUUUUAUUUUUAUUUUUAUUUUUUUGGAAGAGACGACCUCGAGCCUCUUGUGUGUUCAUUUUAUUUUUGUGUUAUAAUUUAAUAGCCAACUUGAUCAUGUAAGCAACCGUACUAGUUACGGGAAUCGGGGAAUGCCUAACACCUUCUCGCCAAGUCAAAUAAACCCCCUUAUUUGAAUCUUUAACGUGGAUUUAGUUUUGGGGUCCGAAGUGUUUUAAAGGAAAAACUAUAUUUUUAAAAAAAUACGGUGACCUCGCAUACCGAAAUCAAAGUCAGGAUGUGACUCUGAGUUACUUCCUUCAAACACAAAUUUUGUCACUUUUUAAUUGAAAAUCAUUUUCAAGAUUUACUAAAUCCUUUUAUUUAUAUUUAAGAGGGUUAGUGGAGUUUUGAAAAAAAAAGGGGUAUGACAUCUCCAGCAACUCUGCUGGGGAGGUGCAGGUUUGAGCUAGUACCUGAUCUUGUUGGAUUUUUAGGAUAUUCGAUUGAGGUUUUUAUGUAUUUUUUUUUGCUUUAUUUGACUUUUAUUUUAUGUCAUUUUAUUAUUUGCUCGUUUCUUAUUUGUUUACAGUUUACAAUUUUUCCUUUAUGUGCUCCUGCUUUAUAAAUUGUCAUUAAUUGCAUAACCAUGGGUCUUUUUUCUGCAACAAGUCUUCCGGAGUAUGUUUGAGUGUACACGGCCUUUUGUGAGUCACCCGUAUCCUUAGGGGAUUGGCGUGAGAGCGUGGAAUGGGCAGACAGCUAGAGCAGCCACCAUCGACCGCGUGCCGCCCCGAAUUGCCUUGUUAGUGAAACUCAAAUUUAGGUCAGCCUUUAUGUCAUUUACACCUAGUAGGGUUCAGUCCCAGGUACCGUGUCCCUUUGUAGGUGGCCUAUCCAAUUUUGUCAAAAUAGGAUCGUGGCCCAAAAAGACAUUCAAUCAUCCCUAUGUGAUACAUCUUGCAUCUUUGAGGGUAAAAAUGUCAUUUGGCGGAUCGAUGUUUGGGAAAUAAGGGUGCAAAAUGAAGCAAGUAGGGUUCAAUUAUAUUUUUCUUUCACAAUUUUUCAAGAAAAGACAAAAAAAUGAAAAUAAAAAAUUCAAAAAGAUUUUACACUUUCCCAUUACUUUUCAAAAAUGAAAAAAAAUCCAAAAAAAGAUUUUACACUCUUUCGUUAUUUUCUAAAAAAUUCAAAAAAGGAGAAAAAGAAAAUCCAAAAAGAUUUUACAUUUUUCGUCAUUUUUGAAAAAUUCAAAAAAAAGGUGAAAAAGAAAAUUCAAAAAGAUUUUACAUUUUCCAUCAUUUCUCAAAAAGAUAAAAAUAUAGUUUUUUCUAAUUAGAUGCAUUUUUUAAUUCUAUCCCAUAUGUAAUCUUCCUGAACUACGCGAACCUGAUUUUUGUCUUUCGGAACGAGAUACAUAGGAAACCCAAAUAGGAUCCAGUCUUCCUAGUAAGUCUUAGGUUCUUGGCUUUGCCGGAUCUUAGCCAAAUCUUCCAUGUCUAUCCACUUUUGGCCAUAUCGGCCAUUGUUGCAAAAUGGGGUUAUUUUCGCAAAAGUGAUUCAAUUACUCAUAUCUUAGGAUAUUGAGUCCACAACUAGGCAUCAUAUUUAUUUAAGGUCCAUCAUUUUUUAGUUUUCAUCUUUAGCCACUCUUUGCCACGUAGGCAUUUUGCAAAAAUAGCCCAAUCAUGUCUUGCAUGUGUCCACCAAUAGGAAGUGUUCUGAUCUCAGACAGUGUCUCGAGUCACUAAUCUUUUGGUCUUUUUUUCUCAUUCAGGUAUGGAUUCAUUUACCACAGCUCGAGCAUGAUUGAUACCCCAUGACCACUAUAUUCAUGAGCUGCUUAAGGAGCCUUUUUAUAUUUCGAGUUUGUUUUCUUGUUUUCUCUUACUUGUCUUGUACAGUAGUAUUCAUUCAUUUAGUUGGUGUCAGAGUUCUCGUAAUAUAGUUUAGAUUUCUGAGUUUCUCAUUAUCGUACUUCCUAUUUUGUAUUUGAAAAUCCAAAACGGUUAUAAAUGAAAAAUUCAAAAAGGUUUUUGUUUCUUAGUUUAUUUUGUCCAUUACCUUUCCAGAAUUAUGUUUGAUCUGAUUCAUAAGGGACAUGAUACGCAGGCAACCUACAUAGAGUUCGAUCGAAUCAUCUUUUGAUAAAAAAAAGAAAAAAAAGAAAAAAAAAGAAAAAAAGAGAUGAAAUUGUGCAUGUGAAAAAAUGAGAGGAAAAAAGAGAGAGUGAUAAUCAGAAAGAAAAGAGGGGGAAAGAAAUGAAAAACCAAGCGGUGUUAGAAAGGAAAAUGAAGAACUAAAUACGACAAGAAUAGUGAAAUUGAGAUGAUGUCAUAUGACCUUCGUACCCUUGAAGCCAUUCUAGAAUUGUUAAUUAUUGCUAGGGGCACUGCACGCAGUGUGAUAUUUCUAGCUGAUAAAUUUCCUAAUGCUAUAAAUGUCCUAACGCAGUAUGUUGGCUUUGUUUUUGCUCCUCUUUGUUACUUUCAUUGUUAUCAUAACAGAGGGUGGUUAGUUUGUGGUAUUUUGGCGAGUCAUCUGUACAAUACAAGGUCAAAGAGCAAGGUAGACAUGGCUAGGAAAGACUUUGAAACGGGAGUUGUUGACCCCUCGAGGGAGAUUGUGGAGUCAGAAUCUGAAUUUACAAAGGAGGUCCAAAGGCUUAAACAACAAAUUUCUGAAUUGUGUCAAGCAUGGUCCAAUGGCCAAGGAACACCCCGUUCUUAUAUUUUCCCAGAGUUCACACCCAUCUCAGCUACUACCACUCCGGUUUCAUUGUCGGAUCAAUUCUACCCAUUUAGGUCCAGUCUUUAUCCCAAUCGUACGACUAUAGCUGGAACUUCUGUUGUGCACUCCCAACGUGUGCCAUUGACAACCAAUUAGACAACCACCACAAUUAUGCAUGUCUUCACCAUCCCACAACUGACUGUGGUGCAGAGGAAAACUUGUGAGUCAUAAUUUUCUACCCAGCAAGAGCACUACCACUCUCCCGAGUACCUCUUGUACUUGUUUGAUCUUCAUGUAAACAUUGAGAAGCCUGCCCGAAAGAUGGCACUGAAAUAAAUGACCCAAAGAGUAAAAAACUUAGAACAACGGUUGAAAAACAUGCAAGGGUUGGUAGGUCAGAAGAGUAUUGCCUUCAAGGAUCUAUGCGUGUUUCCCGAUGUCCACUUGCCACCUGGUUUCCAGAUCCCUAAAUUCGAGAAGUAUGAUGGACAUGGAGACCCCAUAGUCCACCUGAAAAGGUAUUGCAAUCAACUAAGAGGUGUGGGAGGAAAUGAAAAAGUAUUGAUGGUUUAUUUUGGGGAAAUCCUUUUGGGUGUAGCCUCCGAAUGGUUUAUGGGUCAAGACAUAUCUUGAUGGUAUGUAUGUGAUGACUUGGAAUAUGCCUUUGUCAAACAGUUCCAAUAUAACAUCGACAUUGCCCAAGACCGCAAUUCCCUUUCAAUCUAAAGAAGAAAUCUGCUGAAAGUUUCAGGGAAUAUGCUAUUAAAUGGAGAGAACAAGCUACUAGAGUUAACCCACAUGUGGAUGACCACGAGAUAAUCACUGUCUUCCUUCAGGCUCAAGAGCUCUAUUACUUUCAAAAUAUGAUGUGCGCAGUUGGCAAAUCAUUCUCGGAAGCAGUCAAAAUGGGAGAAAUGGUAGAGAAUGGCCUCAAGACAGGAAAAAUUAUAAGUCAAGCAACUCUAAAAGCUGCAACUCAGGCUGUCCUGAUUGAAUCUGGUAAUUUUAGUGGCACGAGUGAGAAGGUUGAAAAAAUCAUGAUGACAUUAAGGUCGAGAAGAGUUCCUAGAAGAACAUCUCGAAGUCACGAUCAAACUCAUUUGUUUUUUGACAAUUCCUCUAAGAACCCACAAUACUCUGUUGCUCCACCCCAGUAUGUUUGCCAGCCACAAAUACACCCAGAAGGUGAGCUCCAUCAUCGCAAAAUCUCCACCAGCCUCCACAAAAUUUUCAAGUGUCCAACCCACAUCCAAGCCAGGGGGAUAGAGGUAAACAAAGGUUGAAAGAUAAUUUUAAACCGAUAGGAGAGUCAUAUGAAAACUUGUUUGAGAAACUAAAGCAUUAUGACCUGAGUGCACUUAUUCCUCCGAAUCAUGUGGACAAGCGUGCAAGAAGCUUUGACCCUUCUAAAAGGUACGAAUACUAUUCCACUGCACUGGGGGCACAAUGUAAAAAGUUGUCGGGAUUUGAAAAAAGAGAUAGAAAGAACGAUUCAGGAAGGGAUAAUUGUGGUCCAGGAUAGUGACACCUAGAAUAUCGCGCAGAAUCCUUUACCUAUACAUGAUGAUUCACACUUUGUGGGGAUGAUUCAUGUUAACACGGAGUAUGAGAAUCCUCUUGGGAACUUGCUGAUUGAAGUUAAUGAUAUUGAAAUUGGUGAAGGCCCCAGUAAUUUUGAUGUGCAGUCAAGUGGCUAACAUGUCGAGCUUGGUGAUUGGAAAGACACUCCUUUCUUGGCUAGCCAAGGAGGAGUUUUGGUGGUUUAUUUGUUGUCAUUUCUGUUUUCCGGGUUAUUUCAAGUUUGUAAUCCAGACUUUAUCUUAUGGUUCAAACUCUUCUUCUUUUUUGCCUAGUUCGUUUUAUUGUAGUAACUCGUCUAGUGUAAUCUAGGAUUAUUCCAGGGUUGUAACCCAAGUCUAUUUUGCUUGUUUUGUUCAUACCCUGUUUACCAUCUGUCUAAUGCAAUCUCCUAUUUUCUGUGAGUUCUAGUCAGUUUUGUUUAGGUCACUUUUCCUUUUACAGUUAUUUUCAAGCUAACUCUAGUGGCAUAACAUGCACGCAUAAUUCUCAGCCUGAUCUUCAAAGUUAGUCUAAUCAUGAAGCAACAACACGGUUUUGAACAUAAUAAAAGGAGGUAUAUGAGGAAAUAAGUAAAGAUUCACGCAUCAUGAGAUAACCUGAAGCUUGAAUUAAGUGAAACUGGGGCAGUUAGUUUGGGAAAUCAAGAGGUCGAUAAGAGCAUACAAUAAGGAAAUAUCUCUCAAGCAGUUUGAGAAAAAUCAGUUAGUGCUGAAAUGAAUUCUUCCACAUCAAUGUAAGGUUGAGUCAAUCUGCUUCGAACUGACAAGGUUCAUUCAUUAGGAUAAAGGUAUUGCCCAUUGGCACUUGUGUUUGUGUUGAUGCCAUUAGUAGAUACUGUGUAUGAUUUCUUUGUUUAUCUUCAAUUGCAUGUUUGUACUUGGCAUUUUUAAAGCUUUGUAUGACAAAGGCAUUUGAUUAUGCUACCCAAAUACUUUUAUCCUUUGCUACCUUUUGAGCCUUAAUUUAUUUUGUUUCAUACCCCUCCUUUUGGAAUUAGAAGUAGAGUUGGGAACUAGAAAAGAAAAGAAAAAAGGAGAAAAGAAAAGAAAGCAAAGAGAAAAAGAAAAAAAAGAGAAGAAAGAAAAAAAGGGAAAGAAUAGAAAAGGAAAAGGAAACAACAAAACUAGUCCAACUUUGUUUUUGAACUACGUUCGACCUGAUUCUUGUCACCACAAGAUAUGUAGACAGUAUUACAGUUCGUUCACACCAAAUAAAAUAAUUUAUAAUCCCCGAAGUCAAGAGUGGAGCAGUUUUUCUUAGAAAUCCCAUAAAAAAAAAUCCCCAGACUCCAAAAACUGGUGUAGAAGUUUUAAUUUUGGCUAAAAGACCUGAUUUCAAAAGUUAUAAUUUUUAACUCUUUCAUCUUAAAUUAUUUUGAGCCUUCAUGCCACCAUUUCUUUCUAACCCUGUCCAAAAUCCUACAUUACGAUCCAAACAAAGACCAUCUAACCAAUUUUUGAGGAUGCCAAAUCAAGGGUGUGGUGAAAGUAUGAUCUUUUUGCACCAUGGGUAAUACCUUUGUUCUUAGCACAAAGAGAGAAAAUGAUAAAAUGAGAGAGUCUUAUCGGUGAAAACCCUCAUGGGCAUCGUAAGGCAACAGUGAGUUGAGAAAAGAACAAAUGAGAGAGGCUUGAUGGUGAAAACCUUCAGGCACUAUUAGUCGACUGAGGAUUGUGGAUCAAAUGGGACAAUUAAAGCGUUGAAGCCUAGUUCAUAGGGAAUAGGUACAACAAGAGUGGAAUAUUAGACUUUCUUGAGAGAUUAAGCCACAUAAUCCAAAGGUACAGGUCGUGGUCAUUAUAGUUGGUAUCUACGUCUGAUAAGUUUCUACUUUGUAAUUUUCUUGUUAGGUAUCAUCUCUUCCCUUGUCCCUUAUUUUUUUCAUCUUGUUUUGUUUGAAUCCUUCUUGAGUCUGUUUGGCUAGAACAAGUGAAAAAUGACUUCAAAAUUUGCUACCAACUUUUCAAUUGUACAAAACAAAUUUGGCUAGCACAUCAAAGUGGCAUAAGUCAGGGAAAAGUGGUAUGCGCAUUGAGUUGGUAGCAAUCAACAUGUUUUGGAAUUCAUGUGAAAUGCAAGGGUUCGGUAAAUGUCAUUCAUGAGCAAAAUGCAACAAAUAAAGGAUAUUGGGAUCGAAUGGAACGGAGGUGUUUUCUAUGUGAUAAGGGUUGAAAGAAAAUGGGUAGCCGAUAAUAGUCAAGGUCGUCCAAGUUGAAAUCAAAGAGAAGCAGCCGCUCUCAAGGUCAAGGCCACAAACUAACCACCACAUUUAAACUCACAAGUUUUCUUUGUUUGAAACAGGAACAAAGAAGUGCAAGCAAGUGGGUUCAAAAACAAAAACAAAAAAAUAAAAGUAAAAGAAAAGAAAAAAAAGAGAAGAAGAGAAGAAUCGACAAAGGGAAGUUUUUCAAAUCUUUACCUUUAUCUGUCUUGUUAAUGUGCAUAAAAUGUUGCUAUUGCUCUUCACAUUUUUCCUCUUAAGAUAAAAUACGUAGUCUGAUAAAUUUCCUCCUAGGAUCGAAAUCUUAGUCUGAUGAAUCUUUCUCCUAAGAUGGAAGACCUAGCCUGAUGAAUUUUCUCCUAAGAUAUAAAAUCUUAGUCUGAUGAAUUUUCUCCUAAGAUCAAAAUCUUAGUCUGAUGAAUUUUUCUCCUAAGAUAACAAAAAAAAGACCUAGUCUAAUGAAUUUUCUCCGAGGAUCAAAAUCUUAGUCCGAUGAAUCUUUCUCCUAAGAUAGAAGACCUAGUCUGAUGAAUUUUCUCCUAGGAUCAAAAUCUUAGUUUGAUUAAUUUUUCUCCUAAGAUAACAUAAAAGUGACCUAGUCUGAUGAACUUUCUCCUUGGAUCAAAAUCUUAGUCUGAUGAAUCUUUCUCCUAAGGUAGAAGACCUAGUCUGAUGAACUUUCUCCUAUGAUCAAAAUCUUAGUCUGAUAAAUCUUUCUCCUAAGAUACAAAAAAAUGACCUAGUCUGAUGAACUUUCUCCUAUACUCAAAAUCUUAGUCUGAUGAAUCUUUCUGAAUCUUAGUCUGAUGAAUAUUUCUCCUAAGAUAGAAGAUCUAGUCUGAUGUACUUUCUCCUAGGAUCAAAAUCUUAGUUAAAUCUUUCUCCUAAGAUAGAAGACCUAGUCUGAUGAAUCUUUCUCAUAAGAUUAGAGACCUAGUCUAAUGACUUUUCUCCUAGGAUCAAAAUCUUAGUCUGAUGAAUCUUUCUCCUAAGAUAACAAAAAGGAACCUAGUCUGAUUAACUUUCUCCUAGGAUCAAAAUCUUAGUCUGAUGAAUCUUUCUCCUAAGAUACAAAACCUAGUCUGAUGAAUUUGCUAGUCAAAUGUUGUUGGUUGUACUCAUAGGAGACGCACAUCCCAGUCAGGUCUUUAGUUUUUCUCUCAUCAUUGCAUCAAUAGCAUAGCUAAUUUACUGUUUUUCUAACAAAACACAAAUCUUCCUAGUGCAAACUGGGGCAGAAAAUUUCGUUUGUGUUUGUUGUUUUGAUUGCAGGCACCCACCUAGAGAAUGAAGGAGUUUGUUUCAGAAUUAUUUCAAGUUUCAAGUUAGGAGCAGGCACCCAAAUGGAGAAUGAGGGAUGUCGUUUCAGAAUUCAAUUCAAAUUAGAAGUAGCAGAAGCUCGAGGCAAGAAUGCGAGCCAACUGUCCGAGGUGGCCAACAUAAGUAGUCUCAAUCCCAAAAAACAAAAAAAAAAAGAAAGAAAAGAAAGAAAAGAAAGAAAGUGAAUCCAAAAUGCCGAAGCAGAAAAAAGAUGUGAACUGCUCAAGACGUGGUUGAAGUCCCGAGCUCUACAUGUUCUGUCUUGAUCCAAAAAAGCUGAAGAAGAAUAAACUAGCACCUGCAGCUAGCGAGCGUCAAGGUUCAAACUAAAGUCUACAUGAAGAACCAUUCAAGACUCAAAGAUCAAGCUUCAGAAGACUUAUAGAUAGGAAUAUUGUGACUCAUAGCUGACAGGCUUAGUUAGUCUUUUUCAUUUUUUUGAUUUUGAUAUAAGAACAGGACCGCGAAUCGGAACCUCGACGGAAUGGCACCUCAAUCGGCUCACCACCUUGGUAUACUGCAUCAUCUCAUUCACUUCUGAACUAUACGUGUCCUGAUUCCUUUACAGCCAAGGAUAUGUAGGCAGCUCAAAUACCAGGGCUCGGUCACAUACUCCUUUCUUUUAAAUUGUUGGUCUCUCUAAAUAAGGGUCGGGUCAAAAAACCCGUCUAGUCAUUCUUUGUCUGAAAAUACUUCGUAUUUCCAGUCAAAGAGGGGUAGCUGUAGACAUGUGAGUUUUGAAUCUCCCCAAGAUUUUACAUAUUUUAGUAUUUAAAUACUUAGUUUAGGUUUAAUGUAGUUAUAUCAACUAAUUUUGACUCUUUUACAUUAUUUUUAUUAUAAAAUUAAAAAAUACAAAAAUAGUUUUAUUUUUCUCUAUUUAAUUAAGGUAUUAGGUAUGUUUACAAGAAUAUUAUUUUUUACCCAUUUUUAUUAUAAUCCUUGAAAAUACCAAAAAUAGCUUUAUGUCAUAAUAUAGUUCGUUUUAGUUAAUUAGUAAUAAUUUUACAAUUUUAUAGUAUGUUGUUGUAGGAAAGAAAUCAAUAUUUUUAGUCUUAUAAAGCUAAAAUACCCUUUUUAAAGACAAAUUUAGCCCAAAUAAAGGCCAAAUAUGAGCCCAAUCUUUUGACCCAUCCGCGAUUUUUGAGAAAUUAAUCCAAGUCAUUCAUUACAUCCCUAUCUAAGGGCUAAGAUCAUUUCUUAUAGAGACAAGACCAAAACCCUAGGGGUACCUUCAUAAAAAAUAAAAAAACCCUAGAGAACAAAACCUACACACAAGACACAAGGGCUGAACCCUAAUCACAUAAACUGACUUGACGUCCAACACCAGCAACCACUCAUAAAUGCCGCGUGCUCACUCACGACCGGACCCCCCCGGUUGCCAUCUUCUCCAAUAGACCAUAUGGCCCCAGCCAUUUCUCUUCUUCUUCAUUCGAACAUAAGACCAAAAAACAUCUGAACUCCCUUACCUUCAGAACGAGCUAAUCGCUGGACAGCCUAGCCGCUGGCCACCACUAAUAUCGCCGGAAACCAACCAAGACAACAACCCCUAAUAUCGAUCUCCUACAGACACUCACGAAUAGAAUAUAGAGACAAGGGAUCAGCCGCAAAAAAGAGAACGACCCCAUCUCCAUCUGCCUUGCCAUAUCCCAACCAAACCAGUACCUUUCCAACACACCCACCGGAAAUACUCACCACACACAAACGCUGACAGAAGCGAAAAGCACAUUUCAAAACUAUGGGGUUCGUUUAGGUUCAAAGCUGUUUCGUGUUUGGGUUGCAAGGAUCAUUGCUCGCUUCGAUCUACCUUGAUUCCCUUGUCCGCUGCUUUUCAAGAAGUUUGAAUUCAAAGCGGAGUUGAUAAUAGAUUUGAAUCCGUUGAUCAUGGUUCAUUGCACUAUACAAGUUUCGGUUCGAGGUUCCGGUCAAGGUCGACGAUGUUUUACUAUUCAAAGCUCUGAAGGUCCGUCCUAUCUUCU
rnacentral:lncRNA from 1 species